AAUAUCUUUACGUAAAGUAAAGUCAAGAAAACUAUUCAUAUGUUGCUUUCUAUCUUGUCUUCUUUGUCUUUAUUUUUUCAUUAUUGCUUCGUUGUUUUCUAUCUUCUUUCUAUCUUCCAGCUGGCGUUCUUAUCUUCUUUUAUUCUAGUUGAACUUCCGGGAUAAUAUUAUUUUCUCCAUUACAUCUCGAACAUAAAUGGUCUGGAUAUUUGUGUCUAAUU
rnacentral:lncRNA from 1 species